GGACAGAGUUAGAGGACCAAAGGGA
rnacentral:piRNA from 1 species